UGCUGAGCGGCGCGGAGCUACCACGCCCUGCCAGACUCGCCCUUGGGUCCCUGUCUGACGAGCUCUAGGCAAUCUGCCCUCGUUCGGGACACAACCAUCGGUCUCACCCCUCAGUUUCUGCCAGAGAAAAAGGAAAAGUCACCGAGAGGCCUGACCCUGACGGGUGGGGGAGAUGCGCGUGCGGAGUAGCGGGAAGCGACUGAGGAGCGGGGAAUGGGCAGCAUUUGAAUGGAUGCGGGUGCCGCUGGCACCCGGGAAGACGCUGGGGGCCGGCGCUGUAGAGCCGGGCAUGGGCUGGGAUGUGUUUGGAUUCCAAUCCGGGCCUGACACCAGUUCAGUGACCUCGGGAAGUUCCCCAACCCUCCGGGCCUGUUUCCUCCCUCUGAAGUGGCGACAGUAGUAGAACCGACCUCGUAGGCUCAUCGGGAGGUCCUGAUGGGAGAACCCAUGCAACUUGCCACCAUAGAGCCAGGCCCGCGGCGGUUGGCGCCUGGUGGGUAUUAAAGACGAGUCGGGAAAGAAGAGCAGGUUGAUAGACUGGAUGCUGCUAUGGUAAUCUGCCUCAGGAAAAUGCCGGACUGUUGUUUGCAAGCUGGUUAAGUGAGCAAAUCUUGGGAAGAUUUCAAGUUUUUAUCUUCAGGAAACUCCCAAGCAUUCUGGAAGCUCUGCAUGUGAGUAAGAACCACUGCUGUUGCUGUUGCUGUAGCUGCCUGAAUCUAUGGCAAAAAGCCAGGAAAAAAAAAUUGCUUCACACCAUGUGCACCGACUCCCCUGGAGCUGGCACCACCAGGGCGUCUGCAGAGCUAUGUAAGUCGUUCUCCAAGCAGUCUGUCUCUUUGGUAGCUACAGAAACAGUGUUUGUUAUCCUUUGUUUUCGGUAGACAGGCAAAAAUCUGAUGGCGACAUUCUCUCUUUCUGAAGUUGGAGAGCCAACCAGCAAAACCUUCAGAAAGAAGGCAGCUUCUACCAGAGGGAUCUUGUCUCUUAUUGCUGCUUUCAAUACUUUGGAGCCUCAGUGAGAGGACUCCCUAUGAAACCAUGGAAUUAAAGUUGCCCUUUCAGAUUUUAACCUUGAGAUCAAUGCACAGUGGGUCAAAGUAUAGUUAUUCAAAGUCUUAGUAAAGAGGUAAAAUGGCUCCCUGGUAAGCAAGAUUAUGCUAUAAUCUUAAAAUAGGCUCACACCUGUAAUCCCAGAGUGCUGGGAUUACAGGUGUGAGCCACCGCGCCCGGCCUGGAACUCCUGACUUUAUAAUCCACCUGCCUUGCCUCCCAAAGUGCUGAGAUUACAGGCGUUAGCCGCCACGCCUGGCCCUCUUCAUCUUCUUUUAAAGCCACCCACCAGUCACAUCAUGGAGGCCCCACCCUGAUGACCUAACCUAUUAUCUAAUCCUGAUUACAUCCCAAAGGCCCCACUUCUAAUCAACAUAUGCAUUGGGGAUUAAAGUUUGGAAUACAUAAAAUUUGGGAGACACAUUCAAAUCAUAGCAAUAGGAAAUACCAUCUUUGGUGGAAAAACAUGUGGCUUAGAAAGCAAGUCUAUGGUUUUGAUGGAAGUAGCAAAAUACUUUAUCAUCACAAAGCGGUAUCUAUUGUUGCCAACUUUACUUUCCCAUCACAUUAGCCUUGUAUUAGAUGAAGUAAAGAAAUAUGAGUUUUUAAGUAAAUUAGGUUAACCAGAAAUGCAUUAAAUUGUUGUAAGUAAAAAUUAAUUAAUGGAUUAAUAUAAACAUAAAGAAAAGUUUCCAAA
rnacentral:lncRNA from 1 species